CGGCCGAGUGCGGGACUGGGGCUCCUGGCUGUGGGUGUGGUACCGAGGCUUCAGCGGGUGCCGCCCGCCUAGAGGGAGUGGAGCGAGAGCCUACGACUAGAUUUGCAUCUUUACGUCCUGCGCGGAGGCUGCUACACACAUGCAGAAGUCAUGCUGGUGGCCUGGACAGUGAAGGGAGAGAAGUGGAUUUGGGAGACAUUUAGGAGGAACAGUAAGAGGACCUUGUGCAUGAAUAAUUUGUUUCCACACUACAGAAAGAAUCCCAGACUUCUUAGAGAACCCAG
rnacentral:lncRNA from 10 species